GCCACACUGGGACUGAGACACGGCCCAGACUCCUACGGGAGGCAGCAGUGGGGAAUAUUGCACAAUGGGCGCAAGCCUGAUGCAGCGACGCCGCGUGAGGGAUGACGGCCUUCGGGUUGUAAACCUCUUUCACCAGGGACGAAGCGUGAGUGACGGUACCUGGAGAAGAAGCACCGGCCAACUACGUGCCAGCAGCCGCGGUAAUACGUAGGGUGCGAGCGUUGUCCGGAAUUACUGGGCGUAAAGAGCUCGUAGGCGGUUUGUCGCGUCGUCUGUGAAAUUCUGCAACUCAAUUGCAGGCGUGCAGGCGAUACGGGCAGACUUGAGUACUACAGGGGAGACUGGAAUUCCUGGUGUAGCGGUGAAAUGCGCAGAUAUCAGGAGGAACACCGGUGGCGAAGGCGGGUCUCUGGGUAGUAACUGACGCUGAGGAGCGAAAGCGUGGGUAGCGAACAGGAUUAGAUACCCUGGUAGUCC
rnacentral:rRNA from 2 species